AUGAGUGAGGACUAAACAGGCCAGCCACUGGAGUGCAGCGUGGUGGGUGAUCAACGUGAACGGGACUCCGAGGACAUAGUAACGCAAGGUGUCACAAGCCCACUUUACCGCAAGGGCCUCCUUCUCCACCACCAUGUAGUUCUUCUCCCGGGGAAACAACUUCUGGCUAAUGUAUAAGACCGGGUGUUCUUCCCCAUCCACUUCUUGGGACAGAACGGCCCCAAGUCCUACUUCCGAGGUGUCUGUCUGGAGAAUGAACUCCCGGUCGAAAUCGGGGCUAUAUAGGACCGGUUCACGGCAGAGACUUUCUUUGAGUGUCUGGAAUGCGUCGUCGCACUCUCAGGUCCAAACUACCCGCCGGGAACUGUCCUUGGUCAAAAGCCCGGUCAAGGGGGCUGCGAUCAAAACGAAUUGGGGAAUAAACCGCCAAUAGUAGCUGGCAAGUCCCAGGAACUGGUGCACCUGGCGCUUCGUGGUGGGCGGUGGGCAGGUUGCGAUGGCCUGAACCUUUCCCACGAGGGGCUUCACUUGUCCUUUCCCGAUGGUAUACCCCAGAUAGCUAGUCUCUUGCCAGCCAAUGUGGCAUUUCUUUGGAUUGGCUGUUAACCCUGCUGCCUGCAGGGAUCUCAGGACCACUGCUACCCGCUCUAGGUGGUCCUCCCAAUGGCGGCUGUAAACAACCACAUCAUCAAGACGCGAUAUAUCGAUCACCAAACGCGCUCCCGUCGACUCGGGAAUUCCACCAGGGCGAGCAGUGGUAGCGGAGUCGACGGGGGAGCCGCGGCCAUCGAUCCUGCACCGUGAGGACCCGAGGUAAGUCGAAAUAAGAUACGUCGACUUCAGCUACGCUAUUCCCGUAGCUGAAGUUGCGUAUCUUACAUCAUUCCCCCCCCACCCCUCCCCCCAGUGUAGACCAGCCCUAAGAGGUAUUUCACAGCUGUGAGACAGGGCCUGAUUCUAUUAAUCUGUCUUCGGGUUUUAUACUUCUACCCAUCACCAUAAUAUCUGGGAGCCUUCCACAUAAAAUUGAUAGCAAUAAUGAAGUCCCUAAUGAACAUCAUGGAGUCUGGCUUCUCUCCUAUUUUGGGAUAUAAACUGUGCUUGUUUUGCUUGCCUGGGUCUCUAGGUCGCUUGGUUGAUUUGUUUGUUUGAGGGAGGUUUUAGUUUCAAAGGGGAGUGUCAAUGUUGUGAAUGUCAGUCUUAUGAUGGAAAGGCUUGAAGGUUUUGCAACAUUUCCUAAAUAUGGGCAGACUCUGAGUUGCCUGGUACCCUCUGGAAGUUCAUUCAAUAUCCCCUUGCCUGAUUCUCCUUUGUCUCCUCUCAUGCACUUUAUGAACUGCAUUGUCCCAGAGGAGAGCCUUGUGACGUUAAUGACAUGGACUGUGACCGUAUAGAUCAUUGUUGCAACCAAGGUCCUAUAGUUGCACCAAAUCUUGUACAAAGGAGGUCAAGAAAGGUGUCUAUAGAAAGGUUGUAAUUUGCUGGUUAUGAUUAUGCUGUCUGUAUGUGUGUAUCAUUUUUGUAUUUUUGAAGUUAUGAAUAUUGGCUAUGUACUUGUAUCUCAAUGUGUUUGAUUCUAAGUAGCCUCAGUGAAGCAUUUGGUCAGCUUCUUGAGAAAGGACUAUUCUCAGUAAGUGCCCAAUCAAGAAACACUUAACUGACAACGGAUUUUGGGAGAUGCCAAUCCACAUCUGAGCUUUCCUAGGAAUGUUCAAACUAACAUGUAAACAAUGGCAUUGGCCUGCAAAAAGCUGAAUCAUUCAUGGACAUGUGACUUGCCCAGGUGGCUACAAACUCCAUCCUGUUGCUGUGAUUUUGCACAGAAGAACAAAAGGGUUUCCACCUACAAGAGAGAGAAUAUAAAAGGCCCUGGAAGCCCCUCCAUUCUGUCUUCAGCUGGCUCAAGAGAUGGCCUCUCCACCCCCAAGAGAUGCCUGAAAGAAAUUGGAACAAAGGACAGUAACUAUGGGGGUGUCAGUGAUUGCUGGAUCCUGACUAGGAAGGAGUCCAGUCUGUGAAAGAGCAUCUCUGGAGGUGAGAUUUCAUCUGUAAUUAGUUUCCUACUGUAUUAGGCUUAGAAGUGCGUGUUUUGUUUUAUUUUUCUUGGUAACUUACUUUGUUCUGUCUGUUAUUGCCUGGAACCACUUAAAUCCUACUUUUUAUACUUAAUAAAAUCAUUUUUUGCU